UGCAGCCUUGGCUGGUUGGCGAUGAUCUCACGCCUCGAUGCAGAAGCAUGUCAGCUGACUGACUCUGUAUCCACCGCUCGCUCUCUCUCUGUCUCUGCAUAUAAUCUUCCUCGCAUAUAUAUACACAAGAUCGAGGGCUAUUGAAAUACCAAAAAUUCAGAAGGGGGAGAAAGAUGGUCUUGAUGAUAGGAUUAAGUGUACAGUGCAUGCUGGACUUCGUGGUUGCUGGAAUUUCACUGAUGAUUGGAUUAGGUCUAUUUGCGUUCAUUGCUUCAAUUCUUUGCUCUGCUGCUUUUUUCCAGAAUGUCAAGGAAAUUUCCUGAUUUCAAUUUCUGUAAGUACUCUUUCUUUUUCUAUCAUUUCAUUCUUGAUUAUCUUUAAUUUUUGUUCUUUGUUCAUGAGGGAAUUUCUCAAUCAACUAGUGUGGGAUUUUUAUUUUCAUAUUUUGUCAAUAUGGAAUCUAUAAUAUGAAGUUGUCUAAUUUCUCAGUCUUUUGUUCUGAACCCCUAUCCAAAACAUAUAUUCAUCUGUAAUACUAUUUGGGACAAUUUGGAAGAGACUUUAGCCGAUUUUUAAGUAAUAAUAAUGCUAUUUUGCCAAGAAAUUAAAGCAUCGGACUUCCAUGGAAUCUUUGGAAUAGGGGCAGUGUCCAACUACGGCAGAAUUGGUCUUUCUUCCAAUCAAACUCUGAACUUUAUAUGUUAUGAAUAUUGAGGGUAAAAUAGGCUUAACCUCAUUCUUAACAGUGAAAUCCCAUAUUAAAUUUUUCUUGUUAUUUAUAUGUGUGAUUGACUUCCGCGACAACUUCGUUUAACCAUGUUGGCAAAGCCAUAAUGAACCCCAAGUGGUUAUUCAUGGAGUUCAAUGAAGAAAUCUACUAUCAGCAAGGGGAGCCCCGAGUAGUUAAUUGUUAAGGAACUACUAUAAGACAACAACAACUUGACAGCUUAACAUAUUAUAGGUCAUUAUACAGAAAACGAUAGAUGGAAAAGCAAGGAAGCAAUACAAGAAUAGGAGAAUGAUAGCAAAUGCAAACUUCUCUUUCCACUGGCAAUAAGCCAAUUGAACGGAAGAUGCAUGUGGCAUCGUGGUUCUAAGUUUUCUGGAAGCAUGUAAAUCACCUGAUAAGUGCAUAACAACAGCAGAUACGAUGAUACUCUGAAUACUACCAUUAGAAACUUAAUUCGUUCUUGCUUAUAUUUUUACCAUUUCUUAAGAUAAUGAAUUUUCUUCUGUUUCCUUUUUGCCAAUGCCAUUUGUGUUGCAUAUUAAUUAAAUAAAACAAUUUCUAGAAGUUAAAUGAUUCCUGGUCUCUAUUUCACAGGUUAAGCAGGUUGUUUCAUAGAAGUUCAAUAAGGAUUCUCUUUCUUAUCACUCGGUGAAUGUGCUGUUUCUCUGCAUCAAUGAGUUAUUCACCUUUUGAUUGGAGGCUUAUUGUUCUUCAACUGCAAUAGAAGAAUCCAUUUUUUUUUCUUUUCCUGCAAUAGAAGAAUGUAAUUGAUCGUGUAGGAAUCAUUGUGCUGAAAAAAGUUCUUCUGUACUGGAAAUGUAGCGUGAUCAAACUAUGUCUAAUUAGUGAUACAUUGACUUAUAUGUUUCUCAAGACUGCAUUCUGUAUUGAAGAAAGAGUUUUUUCUUAAUUUGCGAAAUAGAUUGGCAUUCUAUUUCAUUUCCUCUUUUGCUAUCAGUACAAUGUGUAAUAGAUUUAGUUUUAAAAGUCAAAG
rnacentral:lncRNA from 1 species